AUGUCCGAGUGGGUUGGAAGUCUGAAGCAUCUGGUGAAGAUUCACUUGGAGUGGCGCAGACUAAAGGAAGAUCAAAUCACAGAAAUGCUAGGGGAGCUGCCCAAGCUCAUGCAGCUCAGUCUGCACAAGUCUGCUUCUAAGAGGGAGAAGUUAGUGUUCAGAGCAAAAACAUUUCUCAACCUGAGAAAACUUUCCAUUUAUCAUCUGAACGAACUGAGGGAGGUGAGAUUCGAGAAGGGCUCCUUGCCCCAGAUGGAAAUGCUAGAAUUCAGUGUUUGCGAUUUGGGAUCCGGAAUCACUGGUAUCAAUCACCUUGCAGUGCUCAAGCAGAUUUCACUUGGUUACAAAGGCAGAGUGGCAAAGCUUGGUGUGCUCCAAGCUGAAGUGGAAGCACACCCCAACCAUCCCGUGCUGCAACUCAACGAAGACCGAAGCGAGCAUGACUUGGGGGAUGUUUUCCAAGGACCUGAUGUUGCAGAAACAGAGGGUGAAGACGAACCAUCCCUCCUCCUAGAGACUUCCAUGAGGAUCUGCUCUACACUUACAAUUCAUGCUGAUGCUGCUCGCCUCUUUGUGAAUGGUGAUGCUCCCGUCUUUGUUUCAUACGACGACUCACCUCUUGCUGGUGCCUGCUUAUACCACCAUGCUGCUCAAGUGAAUAAACAUCCCAAGUUCCCAACAAUCCAGUGGUUGCCAAGGAUACUGCAUGUUCUGAACCUAUCUUGCUACAUAUUGUACUCUUAUGCGUUUAUUUCUGAUACAUGGUGUUGUCGGCCUGUGAACACAUCUAUAUUCAGCUGUGCGGAGAAGUGGGAGAUCCAACGAGCUGAUUCCCUUAACAAGAUGGCAAACGAUUCCCUUAACAAGAUGGCAAACCAUUCUGAUCACAGGACGCUACUCAAGUUAUGCUCACUGAUCAGAUCAAGUGGCAACUGCUGA
rnacentral:rRNA from 1 species